GGUGGCUCAGUGGUAGAGUGCUUGCCUUGCAUCCAUGAGGCCCUGGGUUCGAUUCCUCAGCACCA
rfam:Dipodomys ordii contig_18858, whole genome shotgun sequence.